rnacentral:rRNA from 1 species
GACGAACGCUAGCGGCAGGCCUAACACAUGCAAGUCGAGGGGUAACAUAGAAAAGCUUGCUUUUCUGAUGACGACCGGCGCACGGGUGCGUAACGCGUAUACAACCUACCUUUUAGCGGGGAAUAGCCCAGGGAAACUUGGAUUAAUGCCUCAUAGUAUAUAAGCUUCUCCUGAAGUUUAUAUUAAACAUUUAUGGCUAUUAGAUGGGUAUGCGUCCUAUUAGUUAGUUGGUAAGGUAACGGCUUACCAAGGCAGCGAUAGGUAGGGGUCCUGAGAGGGAGAUCCCCACACUGGUACUGAGACACGGACCAGACUCCUACGGGAGGCAGCAGUGAGGAAUAUUGGACAAUGGGCGAGAGCCUGAUCCAGCCAUGCCGCGUGCAGGAAGACUGCCCUAUGGGUUGUAAACUGCUUUUACAGAGGAAGAACCACCCCCACGUGUGGGGGUUUGACGGUACUCUGCGAAUAAGGAUCGGCUAACUCCGUG